rnacentral:rRNA from 1 species
AUUGAACGCUGGCGGCAGGCUUAACACAUGCAAGUCGAGCGGGCCCUUCGGGGUCAGCGGCGGACGGGUUAGUAACGCGUGGGAACGUGCCUUCUGCUCUGGAAUAGCCCUGGGAAACUGGGGGUAAUACCGGAUGUGCCCUGAGGGGGAAAGGUUUACCGGCAGGAGAUCGGCCCGCGUCUGAUUAGGUAGUUGGUGGGGUAACGGCCCACCAAGCCGACGAUCGGUAGCUGGUUUGAGAGGAUGAUCAGCAACACUGGGACUGAGACACGGCCCAGACUCCUACGGGAGGCAGCAGUGGGGAAUCUUAGACAAUGGGGGCAACCUUGAUCUAGCCAUGCCGCGUGGAUGAUGAAGGCCUUAGGGUCGUAAAGUCCUUUCGCCGGGGAAGAUAAUGACGGUACCCGGUAAAGAAGCCCCGGCUAACUCCGUGCCAGCCGCCGCAGUAA